AUGGCCGGAGGUGGGGGAGUAGGCGGCGGCGGGGGACAGAAGCAGGAUGAUCUGGCGCCGCACCCCGUGAAGGACCAGCUGCCCGGGGUAUCCUACUGCAUCACGAGUCCACCACCGUGGCCGGAGGCCAUUCUCCUUGGCUUUCAGCAUUAUCUGGUCAUGCUGGGAACUACUGUUAUCAUACCUACUGCACUUGUUCCACAAAUGGGAGGAAACAAUGAGGACAAGGCAGUUGUUAUCCAGACAUUGCUAUUUGUGGCCGGAAUCAACACCCUUCUACAGAGUUUCUUUGGUACCCGAUUGCCUGCAGUGAUUGGUGGAUCUUACACCUUUGUUCUACCCACCAUUUCGAUCAUACUUGCAGGACGCUACACGAACGAACCUGAUCCACACACUAAAUUCCUCAAAAUCAUGCGUGGAACACAAGGUGCUCUGAUCGUUGCUUCUGCACUACAGAUCAUAGUUGGCUUCAGUGGCCUUUGGCGUAAUGUUGCCAGAUAUCUCAGUCCACUAUCAGCUGCUCCUUUGAUAGCGCUAGUUGGCUUUGGACUGUAUGAGCUGGGUUUCCCAUCGGUUGCUAAAUGUGUUGAAAUUGGUCUGCCUGAACUGAUCCUCCUGGUGAUAUUCGCAAUGUACCUGCCCCAUACUAUACAUAUGAUGAAGUCUAUCUUCGACCGGUUUGCUGUUCUAUUCACUAUUCCCUUAGUGUGGCUGUAUGCAUAUCUGCUGACGGUUGGAGGAGCUUACAGGAAUGUAUCACCAAAGACCCAAUUUCAUUGCCGCACUGACCGGUCUGGACUAAUUGGUGGUGCCCCCUGGAUAAGAGUACCAUAUCCCUUCCAGUGGGGUGCUCCAACUUUUGAUGCUGGCGAAGCUUUUGCCAUGAUGGCUGCAUCAUUUGUNNNNNNNNNNNNNUCUACUGGUUCCUUCAUUGCUGUUUCAAGAUUUGCAAGUGCCACACCUCUCCCACCCUCUGUACUUAGCCGUGGUAUUGGCUGGCAGGGUGUUGGUAUCCUUCUGGAUGGGUUAUUUGGAACUGGAAAUGGAUCUUCUGUAUCGAUUGAAAAUGCUGGGUUGCUAGCCUUGACACGUGUUGGUAGCCGAAGAGUAGUGCAAAUAUCAGCUGGUUUUAUGAUAUUCUUCUCUAUCCUUGGAAAAUUUGGAGCUGUCUUUGCAUCAAUACCUGCACCCAUCUUUGCAGCCCUCUACUGCGUCUUCUUUGCAUACGUUGGUUCUGCUGGGCUUGGCUUCCUUCAGUUCUGCAAUCUCAAUAGCUUCAGGACUAAGUUCAUCCUUGGGUUCUCAGUGUUCAUGGGCUUUUCAGUUCCACAGUACUUCAACGAGUACACGUCCGUCGCAGGAUUCGGCCCUGUACACACGCGUGCAAGAUGGUUCAACGACAUGGUGAAUGUGCUGUUCUCGUCCAAGGCUUUCGUUGGUGGCAUUGUUGCAUACGUGCUGGACAACACGCUACACAGGCAUGACGGCGCUGUCAGGAAAGACCGCGGAUACCACUGGUGGGACAAGUUCCGGUCGUACCGGACUGACACAAGGAGCGAGGAGUUCUACUCCCUGCCGUUCAACCUCAACAAGUUCUUCCCCUCGGUUUGA
rnacentral:rRNA from 1 species